rnacentral:rRNA from 1 species
AGCAGCCGCGGUAAUUCCAGCUCCAAUAGCGUAUAUUAAAGUUGUUGCAGUUAAAAAGCUCGUAGUUGAAUUUCGGGGUUAGUAGGUCGGUCAUGCCACUGGUAUGUACUGGUCUCACUGAUUCCUCCUUCCUGAUGAACCGUAAUGCCAUUAAUUUGGUGUUGCGGGGAGACUGGACUGUUACUUUAGAAAAAAUUAGAGUGUUUAAAGCAGGCUCGCGCUUGAAUACAUUAGCAUGGAAUAAUGAAAUAGGACGUUUGAUUCUAUUUUGUUGGUUUCUAGGAUCGACGUAAUGAUUAAUAGGGAUAGUUGGGGGCAUUAGUAUUCAAUUGUCAGAGGUGAAAUUCUUGGAUUUAUUGAAGACUAACUACUGCGAAAGCAUUUGCCAAGGAUGUUUUCAUUAAUCAAGAACGAAAGUUAGGGGAUCGAAGACGAUCAGAUACCGUCGUA